CCUACGGGAGGCAGCAGUGAGGAAUAUUGGUCAAUGGACGAGAGUCUGAACCAGCCAAGCAGCGUGAAGGAUGACUGCCCUAUGGGUUGUAAACUUCUUUUAUAUGGGAAUAAAAUGUUCCACGUGUGGGAUUCUGUAUGUACCAUACGAAUAAGGAUCGGCUAACUCCGUGCCAGCAGCCGCGGUAAUACGGAGGCUCCAAGCGUUAUCCGGAUUUAUUGGGUUUAAAGGGUGCGUAGGUGGAUUGUUAAGUCAGUUGUGAAAGUUUGCGGCUCAACCGGAGAAUUGCAGUUGAGACUGGUAGUCUUGAGUACAGUAGAGGUAGGCGGAAUUCGUGGUGUAGCGGUGAAAUGCUUAGAUAUCACGAAGAACACCGAUUGCGAAGGCAGUUCACUGGACUGCAACUGACGCUGAGGCACGAAAGUGUGGGGAUCAAACAGGAUUAGAUACCCUGGUAGUC
rnacentral:rRNA from 1 species